GAAGAGUGGAGUGGAAGAAUGGUAAAAGAGAAUGAAGAAGAUGGCAAUGCUUUGUUAUAUAGAGAGCAUGAAGUUGCAACUGAAUCGGGCACACCGGGCAGGUAAAUUCGGUUAGCUCUUGGGUAGGUUAGUUAAGCAAGUUAACUUACUGAACUUUCUGUUAAGUAUUUUUGCAAUUUGGCUAUUAAUGAAGUUAGUUAUAAAAUUCCAAGUUGGUUGUAAAUGGAAUAAGUUAGUUGCAAAUUAAAACUUAAAUUUUCUUCAAAUAGGUUAGAUCAGUUUGAAAUUCCCUUUUUAUAUCAUUUGUGUUUGUGUUGCAUUUAUAUACUUACAGUGGGAAUUGAAAUUACACUUUGCUGUAAGUGAAAUUUAUUAACUUGUUAAUUGGUUAAGUUAACUUCAAAUGGUUAGUUUUUGGUUUAAGUUCAUUGAAAGUUAGUCAGAAGAACCUCAAAUGAAAUUGGCUUUUGGUUCUGUUUUGUAGGGGGUGCUUUUAAGUCGCGAUUAAACCACCAGCUACGCUAAGUCGACGAAACUUUGAUGUUAACUUGGUUUAAAAAACCAUUAGCUAAUCCAAGUAGUGAGUUGGAUGUUAGUUGAACAAUGAUGAGUUGGUUAAAUGUUAUUGCCAUUGUAAUUGGUAAUUGGUGAAAAUUAUGCUAAUGUGAAUGAUUCCGAUUUCGCAUGAAUUAGGGACUGAACUAUGACUUGUAAAAACAUUCUGGAUUCUUAUUAUUGUGGAUUACCAAGUAACGGCUUGCUCAUUCGGAUCGGGUAUGCUAAUGAAAUCUCAAUUGGUAGGUUAUAAAGAUCAACCGAAGCUUGCUUAUUAAUCACUUGAUAACUUAAUUAAAGCAUUGUUAGUGAAUUGGAAGUAAAAUUGGUUUGAGUUGUUACCACUAAAUUUUAAUUCCAUUCUCUUAGUGAAACUGAAUUGGAAUUUGCAAUGUGAUACGUUUUUGUUAGCUUACCAUGGAGCUUGAUUUUCUCCCUUGAAUCAACAUGUGCAGGUUUAGUUAAUAUAAUUAGUUCAUGUUCUGGUGUAGCAGUAGGAAUGCAUUAUCCUUCGGUUAACUCGUCUUCUUUUUGUUUGGGAAUUAACGAUAUCACAUGGUGAAACUCAUAUGGUUUUUCAGGUUGGAGAUUGCUUGGAUAUAAAUUGGGAAUGAUUUGGUGAUGGAGAUGAACGAGUAUAAUUUGGAAGCAAGCUUCUUGUACAGGAAGUUUUAAGAGAUUGAAUUGGAAGAAAGAAAAUUGUAUUAUUACUAGGCAUUAUAUUGAAUGCAUCAAUUAAUUAUCAAUUGUGUAUUAGAUUUGAGUUGAAUGAGAAUAAAUUAUUAUUACGAAAAAUUUCUAUGUUAGGUAAGUUGGAGUUGAUUUGGUUAUGUUUAUUGCUCGUAGUUAAUGAAAAUUGUGUGCCAAGGUUUUGAAUAUAGCAUAAUGGCUUUGUCGAUUGUAGAAAAAUGAUUGUAUUGUACUUGUAUUAAUAUUUAAUGUAAUUUAAAGUGUAGCAUGGUGUAAUGGUGAUGAAGUAAAUAUUCGGCACGGCAGCUGGUUUAUAAUGCUAUGGCAGUCAAUUUGAACAUUGGAUGAUAAUGUGUUGAUUAUGAUGUGAAAUGCUUGUGGAACUAAUGCCCAUGUAUGAUGCAAGAUGCAUGU
rnacentral:lncRNA from 1 species